rnacentral:rRNA from 1 species
GACGUAGGAGCCUAGCGUUAUCCGAAUUUACUGGGCGUAAAGCGCGUGUAGGCGGUUCGGUAAGUUGGGUGUGAAAUCUCCUGGCUCAACUAGGAGAGGUCGCUCAAUACUGUCGAACUGGAGGAUGGUAGAGGGAGGUGGAAUUCCCGGUGUAGUGGUGAAAUGCGUAGAUAUCGGGAGGAAUACCAGUGGCGAAGGCGGCCUCCUGGACCAUUUCUGACGCUCAGACGCGAAAGCUAGGGGAGCGAACGGG